AGCUUGCUCUUCAGAUCGAGUGGCGAACGGGUGAGUAACGCGUGAGGAACCUGCCUUGUACAGGGGGAUAACAGUUAGAAAUAGCUGCUAAUACCGCAUAAGCGCACAGAGCUGCAUGGCUCGGUGUGAAAAACUCCGGUGGUGUGAGAUGGACCCGCGUCUGAUUAGCCAGUUGGCGGGGUAACGGCCCACCAAAGCGACGAUCAGUAGCCGGCCUGAGAGGGUGAACGGCCACAUUGGGACUGAGACACGGCCCAAACUCC
rnacentral:rRNA from 1 species